AGGCGUGGCUUGUAUCGACCCGAGCCGUGCCGGAGCUAACGCGUUAAGUAUCCCGCCUGGGGAGUACGCACGCAAGUGUGAAACUCAAAGGAAUUGACGGGGGCCCGCACAAGCGGUGGAGUAUGUGGUUUAAUUCGAUGCAACGCGAAGAACCUUACCAAGACUUGACAUCCUGCGAAUCCCGGUGAAAGCUGGGAGUGCCUUAGGGAGCGCAGAGACAGGUGGUGCAUGGCUGUCGUCAGCUCGUGUCGUGAGAUGUUGGGUUAAGUCCCGCAACGAGCGCAACCCUCGUUUUUAGUUGCCAGCAUUAAGUUGGGCACUCUAGAGAGACUGCCGGUGACAAACCGGAGGAAGGUGAGGA
rnacentral:rRNA from 1 species